rnacentral:lncRNA from 1 species
AUGACAGGGACAUUAUGGAGGAUUUCAAAACGAAAAGUUGGGACUGAAGCUUCCUCCACCCAUUUUUCACCAGGAUUAGCUCUGAUCUCCAGGCACCAGGUACUAGACUCUCAGAGCCUCCAGAAAUGCUUGCUCCUUAAUGGUCUUUCAGAACUUAGGCAAAGCGUGGCCUCAAGGCCCAGACAUCAAAGUCUGGAAGGAGAGCAGAGGCAGGGCAAGGUCUGGAAAUGCAUCCGUACAGUACGAAUGCUAAGUCAUCAGAAGGAGGGAGGAAGCCAGCCAGGUGAGGCACGGAUCCCAGGACUGAGAACUGGAAAAGACCUCAGCGAUCAUCUCUCCCACCUCCUCCUUUUUGCAGAAGAAGAAAUUGAUGCCCAGAGACGGACACAGGAGAGAGUUGGAGGGAGGGGCUCCGAGUGCCUCCUGACUCUGCCUUGGCCCAGGAUUAGAUGUGUUUGUAGAACUGCCAACCCCGUGACAGAAAGUGGGCUUCUGGACCGCUGACAGAGGUUAACUGAAGAAGGAGAACCAGUCGGGUCUUAGGAUGCACGUCGGCCCGCUUUCCUCCGUCGCCAGCCUCACUCCCAGGGCUCGUGUGGAAGAAUUGCUGUGGGAAACACGAAGACCAAGUGGGAGCAAAGAGGAGUUAGAUGAGGGUCUCUGAGCGGAGCAAAGGGCCGUGCCCAGGUUCUUGCCAUUUCGUUUGGUGCUGGGUCCCCCUUUUGGCUUCCUCCAGCGCAGUCAGGCCCAGCCUCUGGCCCCUUUUCCUCUGCUGAUUGGAGUAGGCUGCCCUCCUCACUCGCUUCCAUUUCCCGAAUCCAUGCAUCCCAUAGAGAUUUCACCUGACCUGCCUCACUCACUUCCGUCUCCUUUUCUGCUCUUUACUUCUAACCUUGCAGUCUCAAAAAUGGUGCUGUUUAUUCUUCCUAAUACAGUUAUCCCUUCCACAUAGGGAAGUUUCAUUACAGGGUCAGCCUAAGAAAUUAAAAGGGAAUUUUUGGGGAGUUUUGUGGAGGCUGCAGAUGACACGCAAAGGCCAGCAGACAGCACAGAGCCUAUGAACCAAAUGAUUAAGCCAGUGUUUACGAGAAGGUACUGUAAACACCCCGUAAAGGAAGAAGGAGAAAUUCAGACUUCUUUGGCACAAAGGGAGGCCCACAGAUUUAAGAGGAGUCUCCAGAUCGUGGGGGCAGUGUACCCCAGAGCCCUGCGAUGUGGAAGGGACGACUGUCAUUACUCUCGAUGAUUCUGCUCCUCACAGUGGCCGGAAUUAAGGAAUUCCUCUUCCUCUGAAGCUCCCUUCCCAGCCCACCCUCUUCCCACCUCCCCCUCAGCCCAUCCACGAUGAGCUUCUUCUCUCACCCCUUCCCUUCCUUUCCUCUGUUACAGACUUCAGAACUCCACAGGACCUCUCCUUCCCUCCUUCUUUGUGCCAGCCGUGGAGGAGAAAUAG